rnacentral:rRNA from 1 species
GAAUGCUGACAUAAGUAACGAUAAAGCGGGUGAAAAGCCCGCUCGCCGGAAGACCAAGGGUUCCUGUCCAACGUUAAUCGGGGCAGGGUGAGUCGACCCCUAAGGCGAGGCCGAAAGGCGUAGUCGAUGGGAAACAGGUUAAUAUUCCUGUACUUGGUGUUACUGCGAAGGGGGGACGGAGAAGGCUAUGUUAGCCGGGCGACGGUUGUCCCGGUUUAAGCAUGUAGGCUGGUUAUCCAGGCAAAUCCGGAUAAUCAAGGCUGAGGUGUGAUGACGAGGCACUACGGUGCUGAAGUAACAAAUGCCCUGCUUCCAGGAAAAGCCUCUAAGCAUCAGGUAACAUCAAAUCGUACCCCAAACCGACACAGGUGGUCAGGUAGAGAAUACCAAGGCGCUUGAGAGAACUCGGGUGAAGGAACUAGGCAAAAUGGUGCCGUAACUUCGGGAGAAGGCACGCUGGUGUGUAGGUGAAGUCCCUGCGGAUGGAGCUGAGACCAGUCGAAGAUACCAGCUGGCUGCAACUGUUUAUUAAAAACACAGCACUGUGCAAACACGAAAGUGGACGUAUACGGUGUGACGCCUGCCCGGUGCCGGAAGGUUAAUUGAUGGGGUUAUCCGUAAGGAGAAGCUCUUGAUCGAAGCCCCGGUAAACGGCGGCCGUAACUAUAACGGUCCUAAGGUAGCGAAAUUCCUUGUCGGGUAAGUUCCGACCUGCACGAAUGGCGUAAUGAUGGCCAGGCUGUCUCCACCCGAGACUCAGUGAAAUUGAACUCGCUGUGAAGAUGCAGUGUACCCGCGGCAAGACGGAAAGACCCCGUGAACCUUUACUAUAGCUUGACACUGAACAUUGAGCCUUGAUGUGUAGGAUAGGUGGGAGGCUUUGAAGCGUGGACGCCAGUCUGCGUGGAGCCAACCUUGAAAUACCACCCUUUAAUGUUUGAUGUUCUAACGUUGGCCCCUGACCGGGGUUGCGGACAGUGUCUGGUGGGUAGUUUGACUGGGGCGGUCUCCUCCCAAAGCGUAACGGAGGAGCACGAAGGUUAGCUAAUCCUGGUCGGACAUCAGGAGGUUAGUGCAAUGGCAUAAGCUAGCUUGACUGCGAGCGUGACGGCGCGAGCAGGUGCGAAAGCAGGUCAUAGUGAUCCGGUGGUUCUGAAUGGAAGGGCCAUCGCUCAACGGAUAAAAGGUACUCCGGGGAUAACAGGCUGAUACCGCCCAAGAGUUCAUAUCGACGGCGGUGUUUGGCACCUCGAUGUCGGCUCAUCACAUCCUGGGGCUGAAGUAGGUCCCAAGGGUAUGGCUGUUCGCCAUUUAAAGUGGUACGCGAGCUGGGUUUAGAACGUCGUGAGACAGUUCGGUCCCUAUCUGCCGUGGGCGCUGGAGAAUUGAGGGGGGCUGCUCCUAGUACGAGAGGACCGGAGUGGACGCAUCACUGGUGUU